GAUUCAGCGGCGGACGGGUGAGUAAUGCCUAGGAAUCUGCCCGAUAGUGGGGGACAACGUUUCGAAAGGAACGCUAAUACCGCAUACGUCCUACGGGAGAAAGCAGGGGACCUUCGGGCCUUGCGCUAUCGGAUGAGCCUAGGUCGGAUUAGCUAGUUGGUGGGGGUAAAGGCUCACCAAGGCGACGAUCCGUAACUGGUCUGAGAGGAUGAUCAGUCACACUGGAACUGAGACACGGUCCAGACUCCUACGGGAGGCAGCAGUGGGGAAUAUUGGACAAUGGGCGAAAGCCUGAUCCAGCCAUGCCGCGUGUGUGAAGAAGGUCUUCGGAUUGUAAAGCACUUUAAGCUGGGAGGAAGGGCAGUAAGUUAAUACCUUGCUGUUUUGACGUUACCAGCAGAAUAAGCACCGGCUAACUUCGUGCCAGCAGCCGCGGUAAUACGAAGGGUGCAAGCGUUAAUCGGAAUUACUGGGCGUAAAGCGCGCGUAGGUGGUUCAGCAAGUUGGAUGUGAAAGCCCCGGGCUCAACCUGGGAACUGCAUCCAAAACUACUGGGCUAGAGUAUGGUAGAGGGUGGUGGAAUUUCCUGUGUAGCGGUGAAAUGCGUAGAUAUAGGAAGGAACACCAGUGGCGAAGGCGACCACCUGGACUAAUACUGACACUGAGGUGCGAAAGCGUGGGGAGCAAACAGGAUUAGAUACCCUGGUAGUCCACGCCGUAAACGAUGUCAACUAGUUGUUGGGUUCCUUGAGGACUUAGUAACGAAGCUAACGCGAUAAGUUGACCGCCUGGGGAGUACGGCCGCAAGGUUAAAACUCAA
rnacentral:rRNA from 1 species